AGAGUUUGAUCCUGGCUCAGAUUGAACGCUGGCGGCAUGCCUUACACAUGCAAGUCGAACGGCAGCACGGGAGCUUGCUCCUGGUGGCGAGUGGCGAACGGGUGAGUAAUAUAUCGGAACGUACCCUAGAGUGGGGGAUAACGUAGCGAAAGUUACGCUAAUACCGCAUACGAUCUACGGAUGAAAGUGGGGGAUCGCAAGACCUCAUGCUCAUGGAGCGGCCGAUAUCUGAUUAGCUAGUUGGUGGGGUAAAAGCUCACCAAGGCGACGAUCAGUAGCUGGUCUGAGAGGACGACCAGCCACACUGGAACUGAGACACGGUCCAGACUCCUACGGGAGGCAGCAGUGGGGAAUUUUGGACAAUGGGCGCAAGCCUGAUCCAGCAAUGCCGCGUGAGUGAAGAAGGCCUUCGGGUUGUAAAGCUCUUUUGUCAGGGAAGAAACGGUUCGGGCUAAUAUCCUGGGCUAUGACGGUACCUGAAGAAUAUGCACCGGCAAACUACGUGCCAGCAGCCGCGGUAAUACGUAGGGUGCAAGCGUUAAUCGGAAUUACUGGGCGUAAAGCGUGCGCAGGCGGUUGUGCAAGACAGAUGUGAAAUCCCCGGGCUCAACCUGGGAAUUGCAUUUGUGACUGCACGGCUAGAGUGUGUCAGAGGGGGGUAGAAUUCCACGUGUAGCAGUGAAAUGCGUAGAGAUGUGGAGGAAUACCGAUGGCGAAGGCAGCCCCCUGGGAUAACACUGACGCUCAUGCACGAAAGCGUGGGGAGCAAACAGGAUUAGAUACCCUGGUAGUCCACGCCCUAAACGAUGUCUACUAGUUGUCGGGUCUUAAUUGACUUGGUAACGCAGCUAACGCGUGAAGUAGACCGCCUGGGGAGUACGGUCGCAAGAUUAAAACUCAAAGGAAUUGACGGGGACCCGCACAAGCGGUGGAUGAUGUGGAUUAAUUCGAUGCAACGCGAAAAACCUUACCUACCCUUGACAUGUCUGGAAUCCUUGAGAGAUCAGGGAGUGCUCGAAAGAGAAUCAGAACACAGGUGCUGCAUGGCUGUCGUCAGCUCGUGUCGUGAGAUGUUGGGUUAAGUCCCGCAACGAGCGCAACCCUUGUCAUUAGUUGCUACGAAAGGGCACUCUAAUGAGACUGCCGGUGACAAACCGGAGGAAGGUGGGGAUGACGUCAAGUCCUCAUGGCCCUUAUGGGUAGGGCUUCACACGUCAUACAAUGGUACAUACAGAGGGCCGCCAACCCGCGAGGGGGAGCUAAUCCCAGAAAGUGUAUCGUAGUCCGGAUUGUAGUCUGCAACUCGACUACAUGAAGUUGGAAUCGCUAGUAAUCGCGGAUCAGCAUGUCGCGGUGAAUACGUUCCCGGGUCUUGUACACACCGCCCGUCACACCAUGGGAGCGGGUUUCACCAGAAGUGGGUAGCCUAACCGCAAGGAGGGCGCUCACCACGGUGGGAUUCGUGACUGGGGUGAAGUCGUAACAAGGUA
rnacentral:rRNA from 1 species